GACGUAGGGGGCCAGCGUUGCUCGGAAUUACUGGGCGUAAAGCGUGCGUAGGCGGUUUGAUAAGUCGGGUGUGAAAGCCCCUGGCUUAACCUGGGAAUUGCAUUCGAUACUAUCUGACUCGAGUUUGGGAGAGGGAAGCGGAAUUCCGGGUGUAGCGGUGAAAUGCGUAGAUAUCCGGAGGAACAUCAGUGGCGAAGGCGGCUUCCUGGCCUAAGACUGACGCUGAGGUACGAAAGCGUGGGGAGCAAACAGG
rnacentral:rRNA from 1 species